rnacentral:lncRNA from 1 species
CGCCUGUCCUAGACGCGGGCCCCAGGGAGCUGGUCGGCGGUCGGGUGGUGAGCACCCGGGCGAGGGCCGAGGGCCUGCAGCCGAGGGGAGGGGCAGGGCGGGCCGGCGGGGGACGGGGACGCGCCCUCCCGACAGCUGCGCCGCGCCCUGCCCCGCCGAGUCCUAGCGGGCCGGCCUUAGGUAGUCAUUCCUCCCGAAUUAAAGCUGGCUCUGACUCCAGGCUCCUCGAACCUUUCUGACACAGCAGUUUCCGAGCAGCCCUCCCGGCGUGGGUUAGAGGAAGGUCGACAGCCGCCCUGGAGGGCCUUGGGGUUGGAACUUCUGGCCCGGGCCGGCUGCGGCCGGGGGAAGUGACAGGCUGGGGAAUGGAAGGGUGACACACUGCGACACACUCAGCGGCUCCGGGGCCGACCGGGGCACGUAGUGCAGGAGAACUCCUCCCCCCCCCCCGCCUUGGGUGGGGGUGGGAAGAAGUGUGGAAGUACUCGCCGGUGGAGACAUCGCAGCUUUCAUUGCUCUCAAGUUUUGCAAAAUGAAUUCUCACUAAGCAAUCUGGGGUUUAUUAAAUUGUGAUAAAAUGUAUUUGGACUUUACGUGCAAAGUAAAAAGCGAUUUUUAUGGCACUCGUGGAUUGUGCGCUGUGUAGUAAAGUGAGAAGUUAAUGUAGUCCGGGGCUGAGGGGUGGGUUUUUUUGUUGUUGUUGCUGUUAAAGUUAUGUUUUUAAAAAAUACGUAGAAACACGUUCUCUUAGGAAAAAUGAUCAAGUCUCACACUUUCACAUUUUGAGAUGAUCAGUUACUUGAUUUUUGUAACACGUCUGGAAACGUGCAUGUUUAUAAAGGAUCUAAAAUGAAUAACUGUUUUUGGAGGAAUUUGGAUUUGUCUCUUCCCUUUAGAUGACCGAGUACACGAUGCAGUAUUACAAAGGUAUUGAUCCCCAAUAAAUAUUUGCUGAAUGAAUGAAUGAACAUUCCUGGCAAGCAUUUCAGCUUGAUUACCUUACCAAAGACAACAGAACACGGCCUCUCAGAGCAUCCCCUUCCAUGUUUUAACUUCCUCAACACUGGGAAAACCCCUACUUCAUCAGGAGAAUUCAAAACAUUGGGCAUCACCUCCCUAACUCUCAGCCCUU